GCANCCAUGUCUUGGAAUUGGAAUGAGUNCCAUCUAAAACCCCUAACGAGGAUCCAUUGGAGGGCAAGUCUGGUGCCAGCAGCCGCGGUAAUUCCAGCUCCAAUAGCGUAUAUUUCAGUUGCUGCAGUUAAAAAGCUCGUAGUUGGAUUUCUGCGUCAACGGCACCUGGUCCGGUCGCGACUUUGUGUCCGACUGAGUACCGCGCGUGUCGUUCGCAUCCUUCUGUGGUGACGUGUCUACCCUUCACUGGGCCGGGCAUCGUCGCUCAGAUCGUUUA
rnacentral:rRNA from 1 species